UCAUUAGAACAGCCAAAUUCCUGGCAUCUGGGAAGCGGGGGAACCACUUUUAUGGGUGAAUUGAUCUCGCAACAUAAGUGAUCAUAGGGGAACCUUCUACCGAAUCCUUAAGCUAACCUCGCAGGCAUUGGAAGGGGAUUAU
rnacentral:sRNA from 2 species